UCGUGCGAGAAGGAGACUUCGGUCUCUGAGUAGAGCGGCGCACGGGUGAGUAACGCGUGGAUGAUCUACCCUUGAGUUCGGGAUAACGGUGCGAAAGCGCCGCUAAUACCGUAUAACAAUCCAUUUCAUCGUGGGUUCAAAGCAGGCCUCUUCAUGAAAGCUUGCGCUUGGGGAUGAGUCCGCGUCCCAUUAGCUUGUUGGCGGGGUAACGGCCCACCAAGGCUACGAUGGGUAGCUGGUCUGAGAGGAUGAUCAGCCACACUGGAACUGAAACACGGUCCAGACUCCUACGGGAGGCAGCAGUGGGGAAUAUUGCGCAAUGGGGGAAACCCUGACGCAGCGACGUCGUGUGAGGGAAGAAGGCCUUCGGGUCGUAAACCUCUGUCAGAAGGGAAGAACAUCCGGGAGUCGAACAGCCUCCCGGCCUGACGGUACCUUCAGAGGAAGCGCCGGCUAACUCCGUGCCAGCAGCCGCGGUAAUACGGAGGGCGCAAGCGUUAAUCGGAAUCACUGGGCGUAAAGCGUGCGUAGGCUGUUUGAUAAGUCAGACGUGAAAUCCCUCGGCUCAACCGGGGAACUGCGUUUGAUACUGUUGAACUAGAGUCCUGGAGAGGGUGGCGGAAUUCCUGGUGUAGGAGUGAAAUCCGUAGAUAUCAGGAGGAACACCGGUGGCGAAGGCGGCCACCUGGACAGGUACUGACGCUG
rnacentral:rRNA from 1 species